rnacentral:rRNA from 1 species
CACGUAGGGGGCAAGCGUUGUCCGGAUUUAUUGGGCGUAAAGAGCUCGUAGGCGGUUCGGUAAGUCGGGUGUGAAACCUCCAGGCUCAACCUGGAGACGCCACCCGAUACUGCUGUGACUAGAGUCCGGUAGGGGAGCGUGGAAUUCCUGGUGUAGCGGUGAAAUGCGCAGAUAUCAGGAGGAACACCAGCGGCGAAGGCGGCGCUCUGGCCGGAACUGACGCUGAGGAGCGAAAGCGUGGGAGCAAACAGG